GCGGUCGUGGUGUAACGGCAACACAGUGGUCUGUGACGCCACAGUCGAUGGGUUCGAGUCCCUCCGGCCGCC
rnacentral:tRNA from 1 species